CGGGGUACUCGAGCGGCGAACGGGUGAGUAACACGUGAGCAACCUGCCCCAGGCUUUGGGAUAACCCCGGGAAACCGGGGCUAAUACCGGAUAUGACCUUGCACCGCAUGGUGUUUGGUGGAAAGUUUUUCGGCUUGGGAUGGGCUCGCGGCCUAUCAGCUUGUUGGUGGGGUGAUGGCCUACCAAGGCGACGACGGGUAGCCGGCCUGAGAGGGCGACCGGCCACACUGGGACUGAGACACGGCCCAGACUCCUACGGGAGGCAGCAGUGGGGAAUAUUGCACAAUGGGCGGAAGCCUGAUGCAGCGACGCCGCGUGAGGGAUGACGGCCUUCGGGUUGUAAACCUCUUUCAGCAGGGACGAAGCGUAAGUGACGGUACCUGCAGAAGAAGCGCCGGCCAACUACGUGCCAGCAGCCGCGGUAAGACGUAGGGCGCGAGCGUUGUCCGGAUUUAUUGGGCGUAAAGAGCUCGUAGGCGGCUUGUCGCGUCGACCGUGAAAACCUGGGGCUCAACCCCAGGCCUGCGGUCGAUACGGGCAGGCUAGAGUUCGGUAGGGGAGACUGGAAUUCCUGGUGUAGCGGUGAAAUGCGCAGAUAUCAGGAGGAACACCGGUGGCGAAGGCGGGUCUCUGGGCCGAUACUGACGCUGAGGAGCGAAAGCGUGGGGAGCGAACAGGAU
rnacentral:rRNA from 2 species